rnacentral:piRNA from 1 species
UGAUAGCAGAGCGUGGUUUUUGAAUCGCGGUAAAAUAUAUAUAAAAUAUAGGAUAAAAUAUAAAUAAAAACAAAAAUGGCCUGUAAGCGAAGAUAUCGCAAAUAUUGUGAGACUUGAAAGUCCUGAAAAUUUUGAUUUAUGGAAUUUUCAGAUAACAAUUAUUUUCAAAGCAAAUAUUGCCUUCUAGAUAUUGUAAAUGAAAAAUCGUUGUUUGAAGACUUGAAAGAUGAAACUGGAAAAGAUAAAUGGAGCCUAAAAGACGCCAAAGCACAAAAAUACAUAAUGUUAACCAUUGAAAAGAAUGUUUUAACACAUAUUCUAAAUUGCAAAACUUCAAAAGAAAUGUGUGAAAAACUAGUAGCCAUUUAUCAAAGAGAAGAUGAGCAAUUAAAAUGCAAAUUACUACAAGAAUUUCAUGGAUUCAAAUUUGACAAAAAUACAGAUAUGGCAACAAAUAUAAGCAGAAUGCAAAAUUUAGUAUUCAAACUAAAUAAUGUAAAACAAGAAAUUGAGAGAGGAAAGCUUUGUAAUUUCUAAAAUAAUGAGCAUUUUGCCAGACUACUUUAAUUACUUCAGCACAGCAUGGGACUUGACACCAAAAAGUGAGAAAACGUUAACAAACUUAAUAUCAAUACUAUCACUUGAAGAAACUAAACAAAGAGUAAAGCCUGAAGAGGGAAUAGCCAUGAGUGCUACUAAAGUAAAGCAGUGCUUUAACUGCAAAAAGGGCGGGCACUUAGCAAAAUAUUGUAGACUAAAUAAAAAAUGUUGUACCAUCUGUAAAAAGACAAAUCAUACUCAAGACCAGUGCUUCUUUAAGAAAUCUCCAAAUAAAUUCCAGGAAAAUAUUCCUUGCCGAAUUUGUAAAAGACAAAUCAUAAAGAAAAGGAUUANNNNNNNNNNNNNNNNNNNNNNNNNNNNNNNNNNNNNNNNNNNNNNNNNNNNNNNNNNNNNNNNNNNNNNNNNNNNNNNNNNNNNNNNNNNNNNNNNNNNUAGGGGAGGUGAUGGUGAGAUUAGUGUUUGCGGAGUUCCAUAGGAGUGAGAGAUGUAGGUAGGACCAUGGGACACAAUUUUUAAUUGUGAAAAUGUGUAUGAAUCGAUAUUGAUUAGCCAAUCAUAUUUGUUAUAUUUAUUCUUAUAUACACUAAAAGGUUUUAAAUCGGCAUUAGGCAUAUUCAAACUUUCUUUAAAAUAAUCUAUAAUAUGUUCUUUUUUGAAAUCUUCUAUAUUUAGUAUUUUAAUUGUGGGAGACCUACCUUUGGGGACUUUAGGAUUUAACUUAGAUUUAAGAUGCUCAUUUUCGUUUAUAAAAUUUACGAUUGUGUUUGCAUUUUCUAUUGUGGGAACUUCUAUUAUACAGCCUUUUUUUUAUUAGGAAUAGCGUUGGCUCUAACAAUUUUUAAAUUAGUCAAAGAAAUAUUUUUCUUAAGGAAUUGAACAAUAUUAGUGUUUUCAGGGAGUUUAGAUUCGAUUAAUAUUUUCCCUAUUAAAUUGGGAGAACUUUUUGGUUGGGCUAUGGGAGUUGGUGUAAUCAGUAGGUUGGAAGCUAAGGCUGCACUAUAGCUUUUCUCGCUUUUUUCGAAGUAAUUUUUUACUUUUUCAUCCAGAUUAUUAAUAUUUUCAGUAAUUAAUUCUUUCGUAGUAUUCAUGAAUGUUUCAAGUUUUUGUUCAAAGUCGUUUUUCAAAUUUAAAAUAGAAUUUUCUUGUGAUUUGAUUAUCGAAUCAUAUUUCAAAUUAAUAUUUACAAUAUUUAUUUGAUCGGGAAGUAUUUUAAUAAAAUCAUGUAGAUCAACUUGAAUUUGAGAACAUAAUUUCUUUUGAUUGUCUAAUUUUGUUGUUUGUUUACUAUUUACACAAAUAAAUUUAAAUUAUCAAAUAAUCUUUCAAUCAUUGGAAAAAAAGAUUUAAUUUUAUCAUUUAAAAUUGAUUUAUUCAUUUUUUUAUUAUCUAAAUUAACUGUUAAAAAGAAAAUAAAAUAAAAAAAAUAAUUUUAUAAAAUUUUGAAUUUAGGCUUAAUUAUGCUAUCUUUUUUUUUUGAUCGUUCGUUUCUUUAAUUAUAAUUAAAUAUAUCAAAUUAAAAUAAGAAUAAAUAAUUAAAUAACUAAAAAAAUUUAAUUAUAUAUAAAUUUAAAGUUAUUUAAGCGAUAUUUGAAGUUUAAACAAAAAAUUUUUGCAGAGCGCAUAAAAGGGUUGUUUAUUUAUCGCAUUCGAAGCGCAGAUAGGGACACCCCUGGAGCAGAUGGCUACCCAGACCUUACGGUCCACAAGCCGGCAUGCGAAGCAUGCCCUUAGCUGCUAUCUUGCUCAUAAGCCAAGUAACGGUAUCCAAGCUGAUGCUUGAAUAAUGUACCUGGAAAAACCACCUCCCAGAUGACAAGUCUGGAAGGAUUUAUAUCCCGUUGACCUUUAGUCACAGCAAAACAGUAAACUGUCUACUGCGUCCAGCGGGGACCGCGGAGAGGCGGCCACCGGUCGACCCUGUUCACUCACAGCUGAAGAAAAGCUCAGCUGCCACGUCGUGAGCCUUCUCAAGAAGCUUGCUGUGGUUUUUCAGCAGCUCACUCUCGAUCGCGCCCCUCGCCCUCCUUCUCUCUUCCUGCACACCUCUCACCCUUGAGCAAUCCAAGACGUAGUGGCGUGCGUCUACAUCCCUCUCUCCACAGACGCAGUCAGGAUUGCUCUUUAUCUUGAAUCUGUGGAGACUCCUGGGGAAGGGCCCAUGUCCCGAAACUACCCUUAUUAAUUUGUGGGACAUUACCUUACAGAGGUACUUGGGUAUUUUUACCCAAUUUGAUACCUCCCUCCCCUUGUCGCUGUUCUUCCAUCUAUCUAACCAUAGGUCCUGGAUGUGGCUCCUGAUCCUCUUAUAGACUUCUUUUUUGGUCACAGGAGUCCUCACAGAUCUACCUCUAAAGCACCCUGCUUUAGCGAGCCUGUCUGCAAAUUCGUUACCUUCGAUAAGGCUGUGACCCCUAACCCAAUGGAGAUCUGGAGCCCGCGACAUCAUCUCCAGUUCCUGGAUGAUUUGAUGCGCAAGUUGCCCCUUUUCCAGAUUGAUGGCAACCAGGGCCGACAUGCAAUCUGAAUAGAGGCGGUAAGGGCUCAAGUUCUUCUCGGCACAUACUCUGAGGGCUUCCCUGAUCGCAACCAGCUCGGCUGAAUAGACCCAUUCAUCCACUCUGAGUGUUAAGCUUUCUUGGAAUAUCAGCUCCCCAUUGGAGAAGAUCACCACCCCAGCUCCAGUAUUUGUUCCAGACUUGCUCCCAUCAGUAAAGACCUCCGUACCAAUCCCUGUUGGCACAAUUCCACUUUGGCAACCACUGCGGAGGCUUCCUUGGGUCCCGCUUCCAUUCCAGGGCACCCGCUUCAAGGCCCAGGGCGUCUUCCAUAUCCUCCCAAAUUUUCUGUCUGAUGGCCUCCUCCUCUAGUUUCAGUCCCAGGGGGAUAAGCCCAGCGAGGACCAAUAAGGCCUCCGUGCUGGUGGUGUGGUAUCCUCCUGUGAUUCUGAGUGCCGCUGUCCUCUGCACUCUCUCUAGAGUUGUCGCCACCUUCUGGUCUUUUUCGGUGCCACCAGGCCCUAGAGGCAUAUAGUAGGAUUGGCUCAACACAGGAAAGGUAGAGGUUCCUAAAGAUAGUGCCCUCCUUGCCCCCCUUGUUGAGAGCUAAUCGUGACAGCCUACACAAUGCCUGUCUACCUCUUGCUACCAUCUCCUCCGCGUGGUAUUGCCAACCCAACUUGUCAUCAACAACUAAUCCCAGGAUGGUCAUCCUGUUUACUACGGAUACCCUCCGUCCCUCCAUCCGGAUAGCCGGCUUAUGUUCCCAUCUGAUCCCCUUUCUUUUGGUUCUUAUGUCCCCAGACUUAAAGCUGAGAGCUUUAGUUUUAGCGACAUUGAACCUAAGGCCAGAGUCGUGGGCCCAGUUCGAGAGGAUUUGGAGAGUUUUCCGCACACUUCUCAGCCUUCGCUCUCGAAACAGCCUCAAUAAUGAGGAACUGGUCGUUGGCAUAGAGAACCAGCCUGGCUCCCUCAGGUAGCUCCUCCUGGAAAACAGUGUUUACCAGGAUGUUCCACAGAAUAGGUCAGCAGCAGGAGCCCUGGGGGCAACCCCUGGCACAUUUUCUUUCCAACUUCAGUCAACCAAAACUGAGGCUAACCCGUCUAUCCCUCAGGAAGUCACGAACCAAGCUACACAAAUUAUCUGGAAAACCCAUAUCCAUCAAAUUUCUCAUCAGCUUGUUCCAGUUCAUGGAAUUGAAAGCGCCAUCAAUGUCCAGGGCCACGAGGAGAACCCAAGCACCCUUUUUUUAGCCCUAUCUCAACCCCCUCUAGUACUUCAUUCAGAGCUGUGGUUGUCGACUUGCCUUCCCUAAAACCAUGUUGGGAAGAGGAAAGGAGCUCAUUACUCUCUAGCCAGUGCUUCAGAUGCUGAGCUAGUAGGCUGUCCAGGACCUUACCUAGACACGCUAGUAACGAAAGUGGGCGAUAAUCAAUAGGGGAAUUACCCUUUCUACCAGACUUUUCCAGAAGCACUACUCUGGCAACCUUCCAUGCUUUAGGAAAAGUACCAGUGUCCAGGCACCUAUUGAAUAACCUGGCAAGAAGCGAUGGGUGCAUCCUUAUCAGGGCUUUCACGAUCGUGUUAUCGAUUCCGUCUGGCCCAGGUGAUUUCCUGUUCCCGAACUUGAAAGCCGUCCGUUUCACCUCCAUCUCAGAAAAGGGCGGAUCCACCAAACCACAAGUGGUCAUCAAAAUCUCAUCCUCUGGCUCUUCGUUCCCAAAGUGCCGAUCCAAGAUGAGGUCCAGGGUCUCCUUCAGGUCCCGAGUCUUGAACCCAUCUUCCUCUUCAAGCAACCUCAAGUUAGCGGAGCUCCUUAUCUUCCCAGUAACAACCCUGUAAGGGAGACCAUAUGGAUUUAUUUCCAGUACGGUGUUGUACUGCUCCCUCCAAUGUCUUCUCUUCGCCCUUUUGGUGCGUCUUUUGUAUCCCACCAAGAUUUCCUGUAGGCUAUUCCCCUUCUGAUUCUUUCUUUGCCUACGCUGUUCUGGAAAAGUCUCCUCAUGGCCCUGAUUCUUUCUCUCGAUCUCCAGUUCCUCGGUCCACCAAGGCUGUUUAAGCCUUUUAAAUGUGGUAACCUUUCCUGAUCCAGGCCCCAGCGCACGAUACGUGUUGAUUAUAUCCUGGUGGAACUCAUUGACCAUGCUAUUUAUAGCAAUUCCGUCGACAGCUCCAGUCAGGUUACCUUCAAGCGUGCAUACGAAUCGGCGUCUGAAUCUUUCAAGGUUGGGCCCCCUGAUGCUGUACCGAGGAGCUCUCUCCACUGAUGGCGGUUUCACGUCACAACUGGCUUCAAACCUGAUGAGUUUGUGGUCGCUUACGUCCGUGGGGUCCGUUUCCCACAUCAAACGCCGCAUCCUGCUUGUUUUCGCCAGGGAGAAGUCUAUUAUGCUUUCACCGUUUACCGUGGCAAACGUUGAUUCACCAUAGACGUUCCAAACUUCCUGACCCUGACCGAUAACUAAAUCGACCAGGGACCUUCCUUUGCGAUUUUCCUCCCUGUCCCCAAACAGCUGGGUGCGCGCGUUGAAAUCCCUGCCAAUCACGAUCUCGUGCCCUUCCUUCUGGACCAAGAGGUCAUUUAGGAAGUCCAGCCUACCGAGAUCGUUGUCCUGAGGUGGUAUGUACACAGAGAGGCAGACCAAUAUUAGAUCCGUCGCCUCGAUCUGUACUGCCGCCGCCCCCUCCCAGGACCCGCAUCCCAGACAAGGAAGGUCUCCCCGGACCAGUAAGGCAGCCUUUUUGCACUCGCUAGGGAAGAAACUAUAUCGAGUAUCUAGACCCAUCCUCCCAUCAUCCUCCAGGUACAUCUCCUGCACCAGGAUAACGUGAGGGUGAUCACUUUUAAUGAUCCGGUCUAGCUCCUCGGAGCUCCCCCUCGAGCGGGCGCAGUUUAGCUGCACAAACCUCCAUACCUCCUUGUUUGGCCCCUCUACCAUCGCUUCCCAUUCACAUACCAGGCCUUCACCGAGCACUGCGUACUCCUGGGCGAUGAUCAGGGUCAUACUUCCUGCCGUACUUCUUAUUGGCCUCUAGGCAGAGCCAACAUCCCGGCUUUUUGUCGCAAUCCUCUUUGGGGAGUGUACGCCCUUGCACUUCCCGCACCUCUUUGGGUGUUCGCAGGUUCUUGCAAUAUGUCCAGGCCUGAGGCAUUUGAAACAGGUUGAUACAGCGUCGUUCGCCCUAAUAGGUACUAUCCUAGCCCCUAUUUUCAACCUUUUUAUGUCCAAGAGGGAUUUCAUGGUGGCCUCCUUUAGGCCGGAGAUGACCCAAUUUGUGGCGUAGGGCCUCCUUGUUCUCUUUGGGUACAGUCUCAUAUACCCUUCCAAGAAAUCCCCACACCCUGAGUUUUGGAGCACCACCAUUUCUCUUAGCAUCUCCUCUUUAAUGUCAGAGUUGACACCUAAGAGGAUCAGCUCCCUCCUGGCCCUCUUGAGGCCUCUGAGCCUCAGAGCAGGUACCCUCUCUAUAGCAUUUAUGGCCAGAUUCCUGUCCUCGGGGUUCUUCAAAAUGAGGGCCACAGCACCCCCACCCCGAAUUAUUUUGAGGUCAUAGCGGUUUCCAGGAAUGCUGCCAGCGAUACUCUUCAGUACCUCGAGCAUUAACCCAGGCCCGGCUCCCUCAUUCCACUCAACUACCAGGGUCAGAUCCUCGUUCCAUCUAGGUGGGCCUUUGAGCUUUGGAGGUUCUGGCUUGGUACCCCUAUUCGCCUUGGUGGGAAGCUUGUUUUCCCUGGUCCCUGUCUUCUUUGUGGGUCCAUCGGUCCUGGUCGUCUUCGGGGGUGGAGGCUCUUUGUUCUCUGUGGGCUUCGCUCCUGGUGGGUCUUCUUUCUCUUUUACCGACUCUUCUGUACUUCUAUCCUCUUCCUUUCUCGUCGGCUUCUUGUUUCUUUUCUUCCUCUUCUUUUCCCUUUUUCUGCCGUCUCGCUGUUUUCAGCAGGCUGUCUUAGGGGAGAUGGCAGUGCGGCCUCUUCGGUCCUGGUUGGUAUUUUGACCGGGACCCCCUCUACUUCAGGGCAGUAACUCGCGGUCGUUGCCCUCGUGGGCUCUUCUGUCUUCUCGUGGUGGGCGGGCGUCACUCGCCUAGGGAGGAUUGGGGAAGCGUCAUUGGGAGGACACACCUCUUCCUCAGCUAUUUUUAGCGACUCUGCUAGGGCCGCUGCCACUCCUCUCUCAAUGCCGUACUGCAGGGUGGUUGGACUGAGGAUUUUCUCCUCAAUCUUCCGCUUCUCCACCCGCAGGAGUUCGAGCUCCUCAAUGGCUGCCCUAUGCUUAUUUAGGAGCUUGUUUAAGCAUUGCUCGAGGAUGUUUGGGUGGAUGUUCCCAACUUUCCUCCCUCGCCGUAUGGUGGCCAGGAAGUCGUGGAAAGCCUCUGCGAGCUCUGUGAGUUCCGUAUUCUUCUUCUGGGGUGUCAGCGCCUGGUUCAGAAAGUCGUUCAGGUCGUUGAGGUACCCUGGCUUUGAGAAAUCUAUCCCAACCUCGGACUCCUCGACUGUUGGGCCGAUUCUCGCUUCUGGAGAGGAGUCAAUCAGCAUAAAGGGAUCCACUGGGACCUCCUUGUUGAUUGCCCUCUUGUGGCGGAUAUCAGGGGGGGAUAGAUGAUCCUUUGUCUCUUCUUGCUCUGGUUUUUCAGGGCUAGCUGGGGUAUCUGGGGCAUCAGAUCCCUGGGGGCCUUUUAGGGGAGCAACGUCAUUAGUAUCUCUGACCUCAGUCCUAGCAUGGCGUGCGUGCUGACCCAGAGAGGCGAUCUCAUUGGUGUCGGCCGUUAGCUCGACUUCGCAGGUAUUGUUGACCGUUAGCUCAACUUCGAUUUGGGUGCUGGCCGUUAGCUCAGCUUCGCUUGUCAUCUUACUUGAGUUUACUUUGCGAUUCAUUGUAAGAUGGGUGUUCCAGUUCAGUAAUGUCAUGAUUACCACCGGUCCCCAAGGUAACCAUGACAUAACCGUCUCUCCAGUUUGUCCGACAAGCUGUCAACGUUAGCCGUACUCUGGUUAAGAGACGCCCAGGGCGCACCACGUGGAGGUGUUGAUCAGCACAUGUAGGUGGCCGUCGAGCCAACCUACUCUACGCAAUCUGCAACUGGACGUCACUCCUGUCACAGAUUCCUAUUUGCACCGCUAACUCUUCCACUAAGACUCCAUGGUCUGUUGUGAUCAGUUAGCCCCAGGCUCCAGGGUACUGUCCGCUACUACCCGCGAGUCGGGAGCCGACUUCGGCCCCAUGCCUAGAGAUAGGGACAGAUAGAAAGUUCGGCCCUGCGUAGCAGGGCCAGGGUUGAUAUAGACAAAAUUGUCCUUGCAUCCCAAUUCGUCCGCAUCAUAGAGCGAAAGCAAAGGCAAGGAAACUGAGCUGGAAGGCCAGUAAAGGAGCGGACCAAGAGUCUGGCCCCGGAAGAGACCAAGAGAUGCAGCUAAGCUGCCUCAGGUCUGGUGUUAUUUAUUAGGGAUCAUGUUACACAUAUAUUUAAGUAUAUAGAGAGUAAAGAUAGGGCAAGGAAAGGGAAGGAGACACAAAAAGGAGGAGAUUAGUAUAUAUACACCUGUAAAAGUUCUAAGAGAGAAAUAUAUAUAGCAUGCACAUAGGUAGAGCAGUUUAGCAGGAUAUCCAGGGGUAUCCAGCAUGGAGGAAAUAGAGAGUGUUGGUUAUAUACAGGGAAGGUGACAUGCAAAGAGGAAAUUAGUAUAUUCACACCUGUAAAAAAAAUCCGAAGAGAGGGACAUAUAUAUCAUGCACAUAUGUAAAGCAGUAAAGCAAGGUAUAGCCUAUAUUGAGGAGAAUAAAAAGUGUUGGCUAUAUACAGCACGGGUGAUGAACAUACAGAACAUAUAGAGACAUAAAUAACACAAAUACGAUAUAGUGAUUUAGAAAGGAGAUGGUCCUCUGUUUCCUAUGUACAGAUAACAAGUGGAGAGGAGAUAUACUAAAUUAACUACUAAUAUAAUAAAUUGAUAGAAACACGUGGGUCUAGGACCAGACAAACUAUACCAUGGGAGAAAGAGGACUCCUAUAAGAUAUUGUAGUGUGAUACCUAACUACGAGCUAGUUCAUCACGCCUAUAGCCAUGUCAGGGAUAUGCCCACAGAGAUUAACAACCUUCUGCGAUCUUAAUUUAGUAUUAAUAUAUUGGCGAGGACCCAUCUCAACAGUGGCGCACUCUCCCGGUGGUUUCGCCAAAUGGAUCCUACAGUCCACUUCACAGAGCUUUUAUACGGGGUGAUUUAUAUAUAUUGCAGUGGAAGGUGAGAACUACAAUGGCAUUAAAGAAAACCUUAUGAAGAUUCCUAAGGACUGCAGACAUACCUAUACGUUAUAACAUCUGAGAUAUGUCGUCUAGACGGGGGGAGUGUCUGGCAGUAGAGUCUAUGGAUCAUAAACAUGAAGGUUCUGGGUGCUUUGGGUUCUAAAGUGAUGCAUUCCAAUAUCAUACAACGUUGCCGCUAUUAUAGUGGCGAAGCAUGACUGUAUAUAUUAUUAAGUGCGAAGGGUAAUCAAUGUAGCCGGCUUUUUCUCCUUCUCUCCACAGAAAUUUGUAGGGUUGUACUAGACAAGGCGAGUGUAUGAAUUAUUUCAAAGCAAAGCAGCCAAAGCAAGGCGUCCCGGUUCGAAGCCCACCAGGUCCAUUUUUUUUUUAAAUUUCAAUUUUGAAUAUAACAACAUCUGGUGAUAAAUAUAGAAAUUGCAACUCGCUGACAUGAAUUCAUCGGGCGAGAUAAUCGCGCACCUCUUUUGAUAUAAACCGGCCGUCUCACUGUAGUGGCGUGUCAAAUUUUUGUAUUAACAAAUUUCUUUUUUUUUUAAUUUUUUUAUUUAUAUAUGUGUAUAUGCAUGUAUUUGUGUAUAUACCUGUCCCUACAUAUUGCACACAUUCAGCCACGCGUACCGUCCUUCAGAGGACCGCGCAAAGCGCCCCACCAGGAAUCCAGCCUUAUUUUGUUUAUUAUAAUUAUUAUUUUGUCGCCUAAACGUAUGUAUUUUUGUGUUAAGGUGUCCUCUGUAUAUUCUUUUGUUGAUUGUUAGCUUCUGGAAUUUGGUCUUGUCUAUCCUCGUUACUUGGUUGUCUGGGAGAUUGAAUAUAACAUUGAAGGGAUCAUUGUUAUUGUUUCCACUAAUAUUGAUUGUACCUUUUCUGGGCCAGAGGAAGAUUGCAGAUGAGGAUGCUACCACUUUGCCCUUUGUUGUUUCCAGCCUAUAAGUGCAUUGGCAUAUCUGUUUCUCAAUUUUAUUCAUCAUGCAGCUCAGGCAUUCGAAUGUAUUGGAGUUGCGAAUCGCGCUUUCUGGGCAUAUGCGAGUGAGGCCCUUUUGAUAGCAGUAUCCAGGUCUUAUUUCUCCUAAAGCCUUGCUGUUUAUGUCGGUGAAUAUUAGAUCCGGGAUCAGUGGAAUCAAGGAAUGGGUUGAGUUCAGGAGUUUUCCCAAGGUGAUAGAGUGCCAGGUUGACCCAUUAUUAAUAUUUAUGAUGAGAGGAGUUUUAAUUCUUAUUGCCAAGUUGAGAGUUGCCGGGUCCAGAAAUCCUCCAACAACCUUAGAGAAUCUACUGAUGCUUCUAAAGUCUCUAUUAUAGAUGGUAUCAUCAAGUUCAAUGGAAGCUUUGGUCAGGGUUCUAUAUAGAUCUUUGUCAACCAAAUUGUGGUGUAGAUCCCCUCUAUGUAUUGAUUCCAUAAAGGAAGUCGUGUCCGCUAUUAUGGUCAUGAUGUACGAAUCUAUAUAUUUUUCUCACUGCUCCUGCAUUCCAGUGUGCGGAGUUUCCUGUUGAUCCUAUUUGUGACAGCCAUUAUGGCCAAGUUGUUUUCGUGCACUAUUUUAAUGUUUUCUAUAGUGGCGUUUAGUUUGUCAGAGAGUACUUUCUGGUUGUGAUAAAGGUUCUCCAGUUCCCUUUCAUCCUUUCCGCUACUUAUACCAGUUAGCCAAGAAUAGACCUCUUUAGCUAUAAAACCAAAAAUAAUCCCAGCGCUUACCCCUCUCUUUGUUCUUCUGGGUCUCAUUGUUGGGCGCGCUUCCAGUUCUUUGAGUAAGAGAAGUCUAGUUCUGGUUUUUAGAGCUUCAAUAUCAGUUUUGUUCAAGCAAUUCCCAGCAUUAAAGAGCGGGAGGAUGGGGAACACGAUGUUGAAGGAGAUAUCUUCAGAGGUGAGCAUCGUAGGGCUUGUUUCUUCCAAACUGAUUUUUAUGUUUGAUGUGAGCGCUAUUUAAAGGGAAAGAUAGUCGUCUCGCGAUAUUAGGUGUGAUUCAACAGAUGCGGUGUCCUAGCCGCGUCAUUUCAGUAGAGAUAGUGGUUAUGAGAAAGAUAUUCAUCUUUUGUAUAGGAGGGGAUUUGGGUAAGAGAAUCCACUACAAACGCAGCAGGACACAUACCCACAUAAACCCCACUGUGUAGCACAACCAUACCACACAUCAAGAUUCGCACAAAUACACUGCGUGACAUUGAAAAUGGAACACCAAGAAAUAGUGGCCAGAAAGUGAUGAAACUCGGCAGACAGAGAGAGACAGGGACGAACAAUAAGUGAUCUUUAUUUCAAAAUGAUAGUCAUAAUACAGAGCGAGAACGGCGUCGGCUUAGUAGCAAGUAGGACCACCGCGGAUGGCGAUGCACGCAGCAACACGUCUAGGUAGAGAGUCAAUCAGAGUACGGAUGGCGUCCUGAGGGAUGGCUCUCCAUUCCCUCUCAACCAUUUGCCACAGUUCGUCUUCUGAACGCGGCUGUGGCAAGGCAUGCAAACGGCGUCCAAUGAUGUCCCAGACGUGCUCGAUUGGUGAGAGAUCAGGAGAGUACGGUGGCCAGGGAAGCAUCUGUACAUCUUGCAGAGCUUGUUGGCUAAUGCGAGCAGUGUGCGGUCGGGCGUUAUCCUGCUGAUAAAGGGCAUUUGGUACCCCCUGAAGGUAGGGGAGUGUCACCGGUCGCAGUACAUCAUCAACGUAUCGUUGGGCCGUCAUAGUGCCCUGAAUACGAAGUAAAGGUGACCUGGAAUCAUACGCGAUUGCGCCCAAACCAUGAUUCCACGUUGUCGCACGGUGAGGCGUUCCACAAUUGCUGCCGGAUUGGACCUUUCUCCAUGUCGACGCCACACGCGUACACGGUGACUAUCACUGGACAAGCAGAAACGCGACUCAUCUGAGAACACGACCCUGUGCCAUUCUGUCAUCCACGUCGAUCUAGCCUGGCACCAUUCCAAACGUUGGCUCCUAUUCGGUG